GGAUCGCUUGGAUGUUGGAGGAAGAAGAGAAGGUCGGUGAGGCGUCAGAGCAGACUUUGCUUGAAGGAAAAGGUGACUUUAGGCAGUGUGGGUGAUCGGCAACCUCAUAGACCACAGAGCACUACAUCAUUUAGAAGGGAGGACAAGUUGUCUGUGACCCACUCUUCCACAGACAACACCAGUGCCAUGUUGUUUAUGAGCACCACCACCGCUACAACCCCUCCUGCACCAUCUAUUAGUGCUCAAUCCAUUAUUGUUGCUCCAUUAUGACCACCAACUCAUAUUGUUGUAGCCCCACUCGCAUUGGUUAUUCCUCCCACUACCGCACCAACUCUUACUCAACUACCAUCUCCCACUCCCACAUCAGCUCCCACUUGGCCACUAGCUUCCACUCUCGCACCAGCUCCCACUUAGCCACUAUCUCCCUCCUUCGAUGCAUCAGACCCCUCUACUGCCACCCCUCUGAGGGUGGAUACUUCCGACCACUUAUACAAUUUAUCAGAAAGGGACUCGUUGCUCGUGAUACAAAUCACAGAUGUCAUUAAGAGCAGAUAUGAUACUUUGUAUCUCUCCAGGAAGCAGUUCCUACUGGAUACUAGAUACAUGUAGCUCUAAGAAUUUGAGUCUAAGGAGCUUGGUCGGGCCCCCACAGCUGCAGAAUUGCUCGUCCAGGCGCGCCAGCGCCAAGGGACGCAGCACUGUGCUGCGACCUCUCUUGGCAUAUGAAUGAGUACGAGCAGCUCCCAAAGAGGCAAAGAGAUUUGGAGAGCCAGAAUGAUCUGACAACUGACAGCAGCAAAGGUAGCCAGCCUACCAAUGUAUGGUUAGACUUUUAGAUUCAGGGCAAGCGGGAGGAAUAAGAAGAUGAGCAUAGCAUUAGAAGUUGAGUGCUUCUAGGCUCCCGAGCUUGUUUCGAGGUCAUUACUUUUAGAUUAGUCAGUGCUUUCCAGGCAGGUCAUUACUUUGAAUGAAGAGCUUCGUCAAAUGUGUGAUGAUGAGAUGCAUGAGGACCGAUAGAUGGUCCAUCACCCCUUAGCAUAACUGACAUAGAGUACUGCAGAUUGGCAUGACAAGCACCCUAUGAAUUUUGUGGAGGAGUAGGAUGAGGGAGAGGUGGGUGAGGAUGAUUUUGAGAUUGAUGAUGAUCCCCCAUCAUAGGGGUUGAUGUACUUUUUUUUUCUCUUUCUUAGCAUGUGAACAUACUUUAUGUGUUUAGAUGUAAAU